GAGACGGCAACCACCGACAUCUACACCCGUUCCCUACACUAAGCUGUUCCGAUCUCAUCACUGGUGUUCGGGUUGUCAUGCCAAUGGCACUGCCCGGUAGCUAAAUGCGGAAGAGAUAAGUGCUGAAAGCAUCUAAGCACGAAACUUGCCCCGAGAUGAGUUCUCCCUGAGACUUUAAGUCUCCUGAAGGAACGUUAAAGACGAUGACGUUGAUAGGCCGGGUGUGUAAGCGCAGCGAUGCGUUGAGCUAACCGGUACUAAUGAACCGUGAGGCUUAACCUU
rnacentral:rRNA from 1 species